rnacentral:rRNA from 1 species
GCUAACGUCCGUCGUGAAGAGGGAAACAACCCAGACCGCCAGCUAAGGUCCCAAAGUCAUGGUUAAGUGGGAAACGAUGUGGGAAGGCCCAGACAGCCAGGAUGUUGGCUUAGAAGCAGCCAUCAUUAAAGAAAGCGUAAUAGCUCACUGGUCGAGUCGGCCUGCGCGGAAGAUGUAACGGGGCUAAACCAUGCACCGAAGCUGCGGCAGCGAC